GAUGAACGCUGGCGGCGUGCCUAAUACAUGCAAGUCGAGCGAACAGACGAGGAGCUUGCUCCUCUGACGUUAGCGGCGGACGGGUGAGUAACACGUGGAUAACCUACCUAUACGACUGGGAUAACUUCGGGAAACCGGAGCUAAUACCGGAUAAUAUAUUGAACCGCAUGGUUCAAUAGUGAAAGACGGUUUUGCUGUCACUUAUAGAUGGAUCCGCGCCGCAUUAGCUAGUUGGUAAGGUAACGGCUUACCAAGGCGACGAUGCGUAGCCGACCUGAGAGGGUGAUCGGCCACACUGGAACUGAGACACGGUCCAGACUCCUACGGGAGGCAGCAGUAGGGAAUCUUCCGCAAUGGGCGAAAGCCUGACGGAGCAACGCCGCGUGAGUGAUGAAGGUCUUCGGAUCGUAAAACUCUGUUAUUAGGGAAGAACAAAUGUGUAAGUAACUAUGCACGUCUUGACGGUACCUAAUCAGAAAGCCACGGCUAACUACGUG
rnacentral:rRNA from 1 species